rnacentral:rRNA from 1 species
GACGAACGCUGGCGGCGUGCCUAACACAUGCAAGUCGAGCGGUAAGGCCCUUUCGGGGGUACACGAGCGGCGAACGGGUGAGUAACACGUGGGUGACCUGCCCUCAGCUCUGGGAUAAGCCUGGGAAACCGGGUCUAAUACCGGAUAUGACUCCAUGACGCAUGUUGUGGGGUGGAAAGCCUUGUGCGGCUGAGGAUGGGCCCGCGGCCUAUCAGCUUGUUGGUGGGGUGAUGGCCUACCAAGGCGACGACGGGUAGCCGGCCUGAGAGGGCGACCGGCCACACUGGGACUGAGACACGGCCCAGACUCCUACGGGAGGCAGCAGUGGGGAAUCUUGCGCAAUGGGCGAAAGCCUGACGCAGCGACGCCGCGUGAGGGAUGACGGCCU